rnacentral:rRNA from 1 species
UACGUAGGGAGCAAGCGUUGUCCGGAAUCAUUGGGCGUAAAGCGCGCGUAGGUGGCCAUGUAAGUCCGCUGUGAAAGUCAAAGGCUCAACCUUUGAAAGCCGGUGGAUACUGCAUGGCUAGAGUACGGAAGAGGCGAGUGGAAUUCCUGGUGUAGCGGUGGAAUGCGUAGAUAUCAGGAGGAACACCGGUGGUGUAGACGGCUCUCUGGACCGUAACUGACGCUGAGACACGAAAGCGUGGGUAGCAAACAGG